GAGUAACUGUUGACAUCGUGACGGUAUCCAACCAGAAAGCCACGGCUAACUACGUGCCAGCAGCCGCGGUAAUACGUAGGUGGCAAGCGUUGUCCGGAUUUAUUGGGCGUAAAGCGAGCGCAGGCGGUUUUUUAGGUCUGAUGUGAAAGCCUUCGGCUUAACCGGAGAAGUGCAUCGGAAACCGGGAGACUUGAGUGCAGAAGAGGACAGUGGAACUCCAUGUGUAGCGGUGAAAUGCGUAGAUAUAUGGAAGAACACCAGUGGCGAAGGCGGCUGUCUAGUCUGCAACUGACGCUGAGGCUCGAAAGCAUGGGUAGCGAACAGGAUUAGAUACCCUGGUAGUCCAUGCCGUAAACGAUGAGUGCUAAGUGUUGGAGGGUUUCCGCCCUUCAGUGCUGCAGCCAACGCAUUAAGCACUCCGCCUGGGGAGUACGACCGCAAGGUUGAAACUCAAAGGAAUUGACGGGGGCCCGCACAAGCGGUGGAGCAUGUGGUUUAAUUCGAUGCUACGCGAAGAACCUUACCAGGUCUUGACAUCUUCUGCUAACCUAAGAGAUUAGGCGUUCCCUUCGGGGACGGAAUGACAGGUGGUGCAUGGUUGUCGUCAGCUCGUGUCGUGAGAUGUUGGGUUAAGUCCCGCAACGAGCGCAACCCUUAUUGUCAGUUGCCAGCAUUUAGUUGGGCACUCUGGCGAGACUGCCGGUGACAAACCGGAGGAAGGUGGGGAUGACGUCAAAUCAUCAUGCCCCUUAUGACCUGGGCUACACACGUGCUACAAUGGACGGUACAACGAGUCGCGAAACCGCGAGGUCAAGCUAAUCUCUGAAAGCCGUUCUCAGUUCGGAUUGCAGGCUGCAACUCGCCUGCAUGAAGUUGGAAUCGCUAGUAAUCGUGGAUCAGCAUGCCACGGUGAAUACGUUCCCGGGCCUUGUACACACCGCCCGUCACACCAUGAGAGUUUGUAACACCCAAAGCCGGUGAGGUAACCUUCGGGAACCAGCCGUCUAAGGUGGGACAGAUGAUUAGGGUGAAGUCGUAACAAGGUAGCCGUAGGAGAACCUGCGGCUGGAUCACCUCCUUUCUAA
rnacentral:rRNA from 1 species